rnacentral:rRNA from 1 species
UGGGGAAUAUUGCACAAUGGGGGAAACCCUGAUGCAGCGACGCCGCGUGAGCGAAGAAGGUUUUCGAAUCGUAAAGCUCUGUUCUAUGGGAAGAAAAGGACUGUACCAUAGGAGAAAGCUCCGGCUAAAUACGUGCCAGCAGCCGCGGUAAUACGUAUGGAGCGAGCGUUGUCCGGAAUUAUUGGGCGUAAAGGGUGCGCAGGCGGCUUUACAAGUUGGAUGUGAAAUAUUGUGGCUCAACCACAAACGUGCAUCCAAAACUGCAAAGCUUGAGUUAAGGAGAGGUAAGUGGAAUUCCUGGUGUAGCGGUGGAAUGCGUAGAUAUCAGGAGGAAUACCGGUGGCGAAGGCGACUUACUGGACUUAAACUGACGCUCAGGCACGAAAGCGUGGGGAGCAAACAGG